CAGCCGCCGCGGUAAUACGAAGGGUGCAAGCGUUAAUCGGAAUUACUGGGCGUAAAGCGUGUGUAGGCGGUUUGUUAAGUCUGCUGUGAAAUCCCCGGGCUCAACCUGGGAAUGGCAGUGGAUACUGGCAAGCUAGAGUGUGUCAGAGGAUGGUGGAAUUCCCGGUGUAGCGGUGAAAUGCGUAGAGAUCGGGAGGAACAUCAGUGGCGAAGGCGGCCAUCUGGGACAACACUGACGCUGAGGCACGAAAGCGUGGGGAGCAAACAGGAUUAGAUACCCGCGUAGUCCCUGUCUCUUAUAC
rnacentral:rRNA from 1 species